AUACUUACCUGGACGAGAUCAAUGGGUGAUCAAGAAGACCCAUGAUCUAGAACAGUGACUUCCAUUGCACUUUUGGGAUGGGUGCUAUUCUAAGGUCUGCUCAAGUGGCAGAACCUACGUCGUAAUUUGUGGUAGAGGGACCAGCGUUCGCGCGGCCCCUAU